rnacentral:rRNA from 1 species
UGGCUCAGGAUGAACGCUGGCGGCGUGCUUAACACAUGCAAGUCGAACGGACUCAUAUUGAAACCUAGUGAUUUAUGAGUUAGUGGCGGACGGGUGAGUAACGCGUGGAAAACCUGCCGUAUACUGGGGGAUAACACUUAGAAAUAGGUGCUAAUACCGCAUAAGCGCACAGCUUCGCAUGAAGUGGUGUGAAAAACUCUGGUGGUAUACGAUGGUUCCGCGUCUGAUUAGCUUGUUGGCGGGGUAAUGGCUCACCAAGGCGACGAUCAGUAGCCGGCCUGAGAGGGUGAACGGCCACAUUGGGACUGAGACACGGCCCAAACUCCUACGGGAGGCAGCAGUGGGGAAUAUUGCACAAUGGGGGAAACCCUGAUGCAGCGACGCCGCGUGAGUGAAGAAGUAUUUCGGUAUGUAAAGCUCUAUCAGCAGGGAAGAAAAUGACGGUACCUGAUUAAGAAGCCCCGGCUAACUACGUGCCAGCAGCCGCGGUAAUACGUAGGGGGCAAGCGUUA